rnacentral:tRNA from 1 species
UAGCUCAGUUGGUAGAGCAUGGUGUUUGCAACGCCAGUUUUGUGGGUUUGAUUCCCAC